UGGAUGUAGUCUAGAGGGGUCAGAUAAGGGUUGUAGAGGUGGUUAAAAGAGGAAGAAUCGGAUUUCGACAAAUUUUUCCGGCAUUACGGAAAAAUUGUGUCGAAGUCCCAACUUCGGUGAAUUAUUGAGGGGGUCAAACGGCCUCCGAUGAUGAUGCAUGUUAUCUCUUUGGAAUCCUCUAUGAGUGUAGAAUGUUAGGUAAAAAUUUCAUCAAAUUUGGAGUCCUGAAAGUGGAUCAAAACCGGAAUGAAGUAACCCACUGUCAGUCCGGGUUACU
rnacentral:lncRNA from 1 species